CCUACGGGAGGCUGCAGUGAGGAAUAUUGGUCAAUGGGCGUAAGCCUGAUCCAGCCAAGUCGCGUGAGGGAUGAAGGUUCUAUGGAUCGUAAACCUCUUUUAUAAGGGAAUAAAGUGCGGGACGUGUCCCGUUUUGUAUGUACCUUAUGAAUAAGGAUCGGCUAACUCCGUGCCAGCAGCCGCGGUAAUACGGAGGAUCCGAGCGUUAUCCGGAUUUAUUGGGUUUAAAGGGUGCGUAGGCGGCCUUUUAAGUCAGCGGUGAAAGUCUGUGGCUCAACCAUAGAAUUGCCGUUGAAACUGGGGGGCUUGAGUAUGUUUGAGGCAGGCGGAAUGCGUGGUGUAGCGGUGAAAUGCUUAGAUAUCACGCAGAACCCCGAUUGCGAAGGCAGCCUGCCAAGCCAUGACUGACGCUGAUGCACGAAAGCGUGGGGAUCAAACAGGAUUAGAUACCCUAGUAGUC
rnacentral:rRNA from 1 species